GACGAACGCUGGCGGCACGCCUAACACAUGCAAGUCGAACGGGCGGAGGAGAGCUUGCUCUCCAAAGCUAGUGGCGGACGGGUGAGUAACACGUGAGGAACCUGCCUUUCAGAGGGGGGAUAACGUUUUGAAAAGAACGCUAAUACCGCAUGACAUUCUGUUAUCGCAUGGUAAUGGAAUCAAAGGAGCAAUCCGCUGAGAGAUGGCCUCGCGUCCGAUUAGCCAGUUGGCGGGGUAACGGCCCACCAAAGCGACGAUCGGUAGCCGGACUGAGAGGUUGAACGGCCACAUUGGGACUGAGACACGGCCCAG
rnacentral:rRNA from 1 species